GUCACCCCGGGUUUCCUUUGUGGGCUGCACACACCACGUGUGACGGGCACAGCUGGGGCACAGGGAGCCACAAACAGCCCAGGCUGGGGCUGCAGAGGGGAGAAACUGACCAAGGGGCUGCCCAAGGAGCUCCAGGCGCCAAGACGUGGAUGUUCUGCUGACCCAGGCCCUGUGCAGAGGCCACUGGCCACGUGUGACAAAGGAUGGCAUCCCUGUCCUGGCUAGAAAUGAUUUGUGGCAGCAUGAUGGAGCAGUGCUGCCACAUUCCAGCAGAACCUUGCCUUUGGGGGGAUGCUUCUGGACCCUCAUAAUCAAUUUCCAGGAACAUGGCAGAGCUCAGGACUUGAAAUGCAGAAGCAGAAAGGAUUUGAAAUGCAGAAGCAGAAGGAAGCAGCAGGCGCUCAGAGCCCUCUCACUGCUGGGAACCAGUUCAGCAAGCAGGAUUUUCCAGCUCAACGCUGCGGGCUCUUUGAACCCCUGUGAUUUUUACUUUUUGUCUCCUGAGGGAGGAUGAGGAGCACCUUGUUCUGGGCAAGAGCCACUCUUUGUUCUCCUGUCAUAAAACGCUGGGUAAGAUUGGCUAAA